AGUACAGUGGCGCACGGGUGAGUAACACGUGACUAACCUACCCUCGAGCGGGGAAUAACUAAGGGAAACCUUAGCUAAUACCGCAUAAUACCUACGGGUCAAAGGAGUAAUCCACUUGAGGAGGGGGUCGCGGCCGAUUAGUUAGUUGGCGGGGUAAUGGCCCACCAAGACAGUGAUCGGUAUCCGGCCUGAGAGGGCGCACGGACACACUGGAACUGAAACACGGUCCAGACUCCUACGGGAGGCAGCAGUGGGGAAUUUUGCGCAAUGGGGGAAACCCUGACGCAGCAACGCCGCGUGGAGGAUGAAGUCCCUUGGGACGUAAACUCCUUUCGAUCGGGACGAUUAUGACGGUACCGGAAGAAGAAGCCCCGGCUAACUUCGUGCCAGCAGCCGCGGUAAUACGAGGGGGGCAAGCGUUGUUCGGAAUUAUUGGGCGUAAAGGGAGUGUAGGCGGUUUGGUAAGUCUCGUGUGAAAUCUUCAGGCUCAACCUGAAGUCUGCACGAGAAACUGCCGGGCUUGAGUAUGGG
rnacentral:rRNA from 1 species